GAGUUUGAUCCUGGCUCAGGAUGAACGCUGGCGGCGUGCCUAACACAUGCAAGUCGAACGAAGCACUUUUACUCGAUUCUUCGGAUGAUGGUAAUAGUGACUGAGUGGCGGACGGGUGAGUAACGCGUGGGUAACCUGCCUCAUACAGGGGGAUAACAGUUAGAAAUGACUGCUAAUACCGCAUAAGACCACGGAGUCGCAUGACUCAGUGGGAAAAACUCCGGUGGUAUGAGAUGGACCCGCGUCUGAUUAGGUAGUUGGUGGGGUAACGGCCUACCAAGCCGACGAUCAGUAGCCGACCUGAGAGGGUGACCGGCCACAUUGGGACUGAGACACGGCCCAAACUCCUACGGGAGGCAGCAGUGGGGAAUAUUGCACAAUGGGGGAAACCCUGAUGCAGCGACGCCGCGUGAGCGAAGAAGUAUUUCGGUAUGUAAAGCUCUAUCAGCAGGGAAGAAAAUGACGGUACCUGACUAAGAAGCACCGGCUAAAUACGUGCCAGCAGCCGCGGUAAUACGUAUGGUGCAAGCGUUAUCCGGAUUUACUGGGUGUAAAGGGAGCGUAGACGGCUGUGUAAAUCUGAAGUGAAAGCCCGGGGCUCAACCCCGGGACUGCUUUUGAAACUAUGCAGCUAGAGUGUCGGAGAGGUAAGUGGAAUUCCCAGUGUAGCGGUGAAAUGCGUAGA
rnacentral:rRNA from 1 species